UACGAAGGGGGCUAGCGUUGUUCGGAAUCACUGGGCGUAAAGGGCGCGUAGGCGGCCGAUCAAGUCGGGGGUGAAAGCCUGUGGCUCAACCACAGAAUUGCCUUCGAUACUGUUUGGCUUGAGACCGGAAGAGGUAAGUGGAACUGCGAGUGCAGAGGCGAAAUUCGUAGAUAUUCGCAAGAACACCAGUGGCGAAGGCGGCUUACUGGUCCGGUUCUGACGCUGAGGCGCGAAAGCGUGGGGAGCAAACAGG
rnacentral:rRNA from 1 species